rnacentral:rRNA from 1 species
UACAGAGGGUGCAAGCGUUAAUCGGAAUUACUGGGCGUAAAGGGUGCGUAGGUGGUUUAGUAAGUUAGAUGUGAAAUUCCUGGGCUUAACCUGGGGACUGCGUCUGAUACUGCGAAGCUAGAGUACUGUAGAGGAAAGUGGAAUUUCCGGUGUAGCAGUGAAAUGCGUAGAUAUCGGAAGGAACAUCAGUGGCGAAGGCGACUUUCUGGACAGAUACUGACACUGAGGCACGAAAGCGUGGGGAGCAAACAGG